CUUACAGCUUCCCUGGUGGUCUAGUGGUUAGGAUUCGGCGCUCUCACCACCGCGGCCCGGGUUCGAUUCCCGGUC
ensembl:miRNA